rnacentral:rRNA from 1 species
ACCCGCUGAACUUAAGCAUAUCAAUAAGCGGAGGAAAAGAAACCAACAGGGAUUGCCCCAGUAACGGCGAGUGAAGCGGCAACAGCUCAAAUUUGAAAUCUGGCCCUUGGGUCCGAAUUGUAAUUUGCAGAGGAUGCUUUGGGCGCGGCGCCUUCCGAGUUUCCUGGAACGGAACGCCAUAGAGGGUGAGAGCCCCGUCCGGUUGGAUGCCUAGCCUAUGUAAAGCUCCUUCGACGAGUCGAGUAGUUUGGGAAUGCUGCUCUAAAUGGGAGGUACAUGUCUUCUAAAGCUAAAUACCGGCCAGAGACCGAUAGCGCACAAGUAGAGUGAUCGAAAGAUGAAAAGCACUUUGAAAAGAGGGUUAAAAAGUACGUGAAAUUGUUGAAAGGGAAGCGUUUGUGACCAGACUUGGGCCCGGUUAAUCAUCCAGUGUUCUCACUGGUGCACUUUGCCGGCUCAGGCCAGCAUCAGUUCGUCGCGGGGGAUAAAGGCUUCGGGAACGUGGCUCCUCCGGGAGUGUUAUAGCCCGUUGCGUAAUACCCUGCGGUGGACUGAGGUUCGCGCAUCUGCAAGGAUGCUGGCGUAAUGGUCAUCAACGACCCGUCUUGAAACACGG